AUGUACCACUCGUACACUCCGGUUCCUGUGCGCCGCCCGCACCCGCCUGACGACUGCUCGCUCAGGAUGUCGCUGGGC
rnacentral:sRNA from 1 species